rnacentral:rRNA from 1 species
AGUGAACGCUGGCGGUAGGCCUAACACAUGCAAGUCGAACGGCAGCACAGUAAGAGCUUGCUCUUACGGGUGGCGAGUGGCGGACGGGUGAGGAAUACAUCGGAAUCUACUUUUUCGUGGGGGAUAACGUAGGGAAACUUACGCUAAUACCGCAUACGACCUACGGGUGAAAGCAGGGGAUCUUCGGACCUUGCGCGAUUGAAUGAGCCGAUGUCGGAUUAGCUAGUUGGCGGGGUAAAGGCCCACCAAGGCGACGAUCCGUAGCUGGUCUGAUAGGAUGAUCAGCCACACUGGAACUGAGACACGGUCCAGACUCCUACGGGAGGCAGCAGUGGGGAAUAUUGGACCAUGGGCGCAAGCCUGAUCCAGCCAUACCGCGUGGGUGAAGAAGGCCUUCGGGUUGUAAAGCCCUUUUGUUGGGAAAGAAAAGCAGCAGGUUAAUACCCCGCUGUUCUGACGGUACCCAAAGAAUAAGCACCGGCUAACUUCGUG